rnacentral:tRNA from 1 species
GGAGAGGUGACCGAGUGGCCGAAGGUGGCGGUUUGCUAAACCGUUGUACGGUUAAUAGCCGUACCGAGGGUUCGAAUCCCUCCCUCUCCGCCA